rnacentral:rRNA from 1 species
GAUAAACGCUGGCGGCGUGCAUAACACAUUCAAGUCGAACGGACUUAAUUAAAUUAAUCCUUCGGGAAGCGUUUAAUUAAGUUAGUGGCGGACGGGUGAGUAACGCGUGAGCAACCUGCCUAUCAGUGGGGAAUAACGUUUGGAAACGAACGCUAAUACCGCAUAACGUAUCGAGAGGGCAUCCUCAUGAUACCAAAGAUUUAUUGCUGAUAGAUGGGCUCGCGUCUGAUUAGGUAGUUGGUAGGGUAACGGCCUACCAAGCCGACGAUCAGUAGCCGGACUGAGAGGUUGAACGGCCACAUUGGAACUGAGAAACGGUCCAGACUCCUACGGGAGGCAGCAGUGGGGAAUAUUGGGCAAUGGGGGAAACCCUGACCCAGCGACGCCGCGUGAGGGAAGACGGUCUUCGGAUUGUAAACCUCUUUCAGCAUGGAAGAAGCAUGACGGUACAUGCAGAAGAAGCCACGGCUAACUACGUG